AGUCCUUCGCCGUCCCUCGCCGUCCUUCGCCAUCGCACGCCACCGCACCCCAUCUCUCGAAAUCUGCAGACAUCUUGAUUUUUCCCACGCUGUCUGUCAGGUCUCCGCCGCCACUCGACGCCAGGGCGCCGGGUGAGUCCACAGCAGGGCGCAUGGUCGGCUCCACUCUCACCAUCGGGGGAAACUGAGGCCCCGGGGAAGGCGGCCAGAGAGGUCAGGCCCUGUCCUUGGUGCAGUGUCUCGUCCUCUUUGCCGGAGUGAGCCCCCCAGGAUUCGCGUGUCCUCGGGAAAGACACUGGCAGGCCUUGUGGGCUGUGCUGCACCUCGGACGGCUUCGCACCAGCCAGCGCCCUCUCUCUCCUGCAGCACUCUGAUCUGCACCCCCUGAGGGGCUUCCACUGUCCGCGGGGUGAGAAUGCCCCUGGGAGUGUCACAUGACUGCCGCCCCAUGUGUGUGAGAGGCGUCCUCUGGGAGAGCAUGGAUCCUGAGGUCCCAGGAUUGUCAGCUGACCUCUGUCCUGUGUGCCCAGUGGCCCCAGGUGACGUGUCUUCAAGAAGAGGCUGAGCUGCGGUGCUUGUAAGGGUCUCAUUCUGUCACCCAGGCUGGAGUGCAGUGGUGCAAUGAUGGCUCACUGCAGCCUCGACCUGGGCUCAAGUGAUCCUCCACCUCAGCUUCCUGAGUAGCUGGGACCACAGGUCUCAGCCUUAGAUCCAAGGACAGUCCAAGGAAGUCCUAAGACCAUGGAGUUGGUGAUCUGGGAUCUGGGUUUGCUGAUAUUUCUCACCGUGAAUCUCUUGGUGGUGUUUGUGGGCACGAGAGGGGCAGAGAAUGGAGAGUGAGGCUACCACAUGAAGCGUCACCAGAGCUGCUCCCUGCUGCCUGCUCAGAGCACCCCGGAUCCACUGUUCAAUCUGCACAAGAUUCGGGGUCCAGACAUGGGAGACUUCAGCUGCCUCAGAGGACCGUGGACAGGGAAGGCCAGCCUCGCAUCCCUCUGUCCAUGCCUGGAAUGACUUUAAUAACCAAGAGUUUUAUUUUUGAAUUUGUAGCUGUCGUUCACUUUUUACCCACCCAUUCAAUAAACCUUACAGAAUUGCUCCA
rnacentral:lncRNA from 1 species